rnacentral:rRNA from 1 species
UGAAUACGAGACGCUAAGGCGUCGAAGUAGUGUAUGUCAUACUUCCAAGAAAAGCUUGCACUGUCAUAGAUAAAAAAUGCCUGUACCAUAACCGACACAGGUGGGUAGGUAGAGUAUACUAAGGGGCGCGAGAUAACUCUCUCUAAGGAACUCGGCAAAAUAACUCCGUAACUUCGGGAGAAGGAGUGCCUUAUUCGUAAGGUUGCAAUAACAAGAUCCAAGCAACUGUUUAUCAAAAACACAGGUCUCCGCUAAGUCGUAAGACGAUGUAUGGGGGCUGACGCCUGCCCAGUGCCAGAAGGUUAAAGAAGUUGGUUAGCAAUUGCGAAGCUGAUAACUGAAGCCCUGGUGAACGGCGGCCGUAACUAUAACGGUCCUAAGGUAGCGAAAUUCCUUGUCGGGUAAGUUCCGACCCGCACGAAAGGCGUAAUGAUUUGUAUACUGUCUCGGAGAGGGGCUCGGUGAAAUAGACUUGUCUGUGAAGAUGCGGACUACCUGCACCAGGACAGAAAGACCCUAUGAAGCUUUACUGUAACUUGAAAUUGAAAUUGGACUUUAUUCGCGCAGUAUAGGUGGGAGGCGUUGAUUAUAAUCUUGUGGGAUUAUUGGAGCCAUCAGUGAGAUACCACUCUUGUAAUGUUAGAUUUCUAACUUUGAAUCAUUAUCUGGUCAAAGAACAGUUUCAGGCGGGCAGUUUGACUGGGGCGGUCGCCUCCUAAACGGUAACGGAGGCGUACAAAGGUUUCCUCUGAACGGUUAGAAAUCGUAUCUAGAGUGUAAAGGCAUAAGGAAGCUUGACUGUGAGACCUACAAGUCGAGCAGGGACGAAAGUCGGUCUUAGUGAUCUGACGGUACUGAGUGGAAAGGCCGUCACUCAACGGAUAUAAGUUACUCUAGGAUAACAGGCUGAUCUCCCCCAAGAGUUCACAUCGACGGGGAGGUUUGGCACCUCGAUGUCGGCUCAUCGCAUCCUGGGGCGGUAGUACGUCCCAAGGGUUGGGCUGUUCGCCCAUGAAAGCGGUACGCGAGCUGGGUUCAGAACGUCGUGAGACAGUUCGGUCCAUAUCCGGUGUAGGCGUUAGAAUAUUGAGAGGAGCCUUCUUUAGUACGAGAGGACCGAGAAGGACAUACCUCUGGUGUACCAGUUAUCGUGCCAACGGUAAACGCUGGGUAGCUAUGUAUGGAGUGGAUAACCGCUGAAAGCAUCUAAGUGGGAAGCCCACCUCAAGAUAAG